rnacentral:misc_RNA from 1 species
AGCAGCCGCGGUAAUUCCAGCUCCAAUAGCGUAUAUUAAAGUUGUUGCAGUUAAAAGCUCGUAGUUGAAUUUCGGGAUCAAUACGUCGGUCGUGCUUCGGUACGUACUGGCGUAAUUGAUUUCUCCCUUCUGACGAACCAUGAUGUCAUUAACUUGGUGUCAUGGGAAAUCAGGACUGUUACUUUGAAAAAUUAGAGUGUUUAAAGCAGGCUCACGCUUGAAUACAUUAGCAUGGAAUAAUGAAAUAGGACGUUCGAUCCUAUUUUGUU